rnacentral:rRNA from 1 species
GACGAACCGAGCGAACGUUAUUCGGAAUCACUGGGCUUAAAGGGCGCGUAGGCGGGCUGUCAAGUCUGGGGUGAAAUCCCGCGGCUCAACCGUGGAACUGCCUUAGAUACUGACGGCCUCGAGGAAGGUAGGGGCAUGCGGAACUGUAGGUGGAGCGGUGAAAUGCGUUGAUAUCUACAGGAACUCCGGUGGCGAAAGCGGCGUGCUGGACCUUUUCUGACGCUGAGGCGCGAAAGCUAGGGGAGCAAACGGGG